rnacentral:rRNA from 1 species
GACGAACGCUGGCGGCGUGCUUAACACAUGCAAGUCGAACGGAAAGGCCCUGCUUUUGUGGGGUGCUCGAGUGGCGAACGGGUGAGUAACACGUGAGUAACCUGCCCUUGACUUUGGGAUAACUUCAGGAAACUGGGGCUAAUACCGGAUAGGAGCUCCUGCUGCAUGGUGGGGGUUGGAAAGUUUCGGCGGUUGGGGAUGGACUCGCGGCUUAUCAGCUUGUUGGUGGGGUAGUGGCUUACCAAGGCUUUGACGGGUAGCCGGCCUGAGAGGGUGACCGGCCACAUUGGGACUAAGAUGCGGCCCAGACUCCUACGGGAGGCAGCAGUGGGGAAUAUUGCACAAUGGGCGGAAGCCUGAUGCAGCAACGCCGCGUGCGGGAUGACGGCCUUCGGGUUGUAAACCGCUUUCGCCUGUGACGAAGCGUGAGUGACGGUAAUGGGUAAAGAAGCACCGGCUAACUACGUG